rnacentral:misc_RNA from 1 species
GAACAACACAUCAUUGAUGGCAUAUCAUAUUCUCCCUCCAAAAGCUAAUGCAUUGUUGAGGAAAUUGUUGAAUUCCUAUUAGUUUGAGAUCUUAAAGCUUGCUAAUAAUGUUGAUGUUCCUAACCUUUGAUGGCCUUGGGGCUGUAUCUUUGGGGACAACAAUGGUCAGGAGUCCAUUUUCAAGCUGAGCCUUAAUUUGAUCCAACUUCACAUUUUCAGGCAGUUCAAUCUCCCUGGAAAAACUUCUCUUCCCUAUUUGUCUUUCACCCAAAUGCCAAAUGGCCUCUUUCCCAACACUUUCCUCUUUACCACUCGUUCCUUCUAUGUGCAUAACAUUUCCCUCCUCAACCCUUACCUUUAACUCAUCUUUGCUAAACCCUGGAACGUCAACCUUAAAGAUGUGAGCAUUGGAUGUUUCGAGCCAAUCCAAGAGCGCAACGGUGCCGGAGGGCUGGCGGAAGACGGCGGGGCUCCACAAGAAGCGCCGGAGAGGAUAUCCAAACAAAUCAUUCGCCAUAAGGAAUUGAAGUUUCAAG